rnacentral:rRNA from 1 species
CAGGCUUAACACAUGCAAGUCGAGGGGCAUCAGGAAGAAAGCUUGCUUUCUUUGCUGGCGACCGGCGCACGGGUGAGUAACACGUAUCCAACCUGCCCUUUACUCGGGGAUAGCCUUUCGAAAGAAAGAUUAAUACCCGAUAGCAUAAUGAUUCCGCAUGGUUUCAUUAUUAAAGGAUUCCGGUAAAGGAUGGGGAUGCGUUCCAUUAGGUUGUUGGUGAGGUAUCGGCUCACCAAGCCUUCGAUGGAUAGGGGUUCUGAGAGGAAGGUCCCCCACAUUGGAACUGAGACACGGUCCAAACUCCUACGGGAGGCAGCAGUGAGGAAUAUUGGUCAAUGGGCGGUAGCCUGAACCAGCCAAGUAGCGUGAAGGAUGAAGGCUCUAUGGGUCGUAAACUUCUUUUAUAUAAGAAUAAAGUGCAGUAUGUAUACUGUUUUGUAUGUAUUAUAUGAAUAAGGAUCGGCUAACUCCGUGCCAGCAGCCGCGGUAAUACGGAGGAUCCGAGCGUUAUCCGGAUUUAUUGGGUUUAAAGGGAGCGUAGGUGGACUGGUAAGUCAGUUGUGAAAGUUUGCGGCUCAACCGUAAAAUUGCAGUUGAUACUGUCAGUCUUGAGUACAGUAGAGGUGGGCGGAAUUCGUGGUGUAGCGGUGAAAUGCUUAGAUAUCACGAAGAACUCCGAUUGCGAAGGCAGCUCACUGGACUGCAACUGACACUGAUGCUCGAAAGUGUGGGUAUCAAACAGGAUUAGAUACCCUGGUAGUCCACACAGUAAACGAUGAAUACUCGCUGUUUGCGAUAUACAGUAAGCGGCCAAGCGAAAGCAUUAAGUAUUCCACCUGGGGAGUACGCCGGCAACGGUGAAACUCAAAGGAAUUGACGGGGGCCCGCACAAGCGGAGGAACAUGUGGUUUAAUUCGAUGAUACGCGAGGAACCUUACCCGGGCUUAAAUUGCAGUGGAAUGAUGUGGAAACAUGUCAGUGAGCAAUCACCGCUGUGAAGGUGCUGCAUGGUUGUCGUCAGCUCGUGCCGUGAGGUGUCGGCUUAAGUGCCAUAACGAGCGCAACCCUUAUCUUUAGUUACUAACAGGUUAUGCUGAGGACUCUAGAGAGACUGCCGUCGUAAGAUGUGAGGAAGGUGGGGAUGACGUCAAAUCAGCACGGCCCUUACGUCCGGGGCUACACACGUGUUACAAUGGGGGGUACAGAAGGCAGCUAGCGGGUGACCGUAUGCUAAUCCCAAAAUCCUCUCUCAGUUCGGAUCGAAGUCUGCAACCCGACUUCGUGAAGCUGGAUUCGCUAGUAAUCGCGCAUCAGCCACGGCGCGGUGAAUACGUUCCCGGGCCUUGUACACACCGCCCGUCAAGCCAUGGGAGCCGGGGGUACCUGAAGUACGUAACCGCAAGGAUCGUCCUAGGGUAAAACUGGUGACUG